UGGGGAAUAUUGGACAAUGGGCGCAAGCCUGAUCCAGCAAUACCGCGUGUGUGAAGAAGGCCUGCGGGUUGUAAAGCACUUUCAAUUGUGAAGAAAAGCGGGAGGCUAAUACCCUUCUGUCUUGACGUUAACUUUAGAAGAAGCACCGGCUAACUCUGUGCCAGCAGCCGCGGUAAUACAGAGGGUGCGAGCGUUAAUCGGAAUUACUGGGCGUAAAGCGUGCGUAGGCGGUUUAGUCAGUCAGAUGUGAAAGCCCCGGGCUUAACCUGGGAAUUGCAUUUGAAACUGCUGAACUAGAGUGUGGUAGAGGGAAGUGGAAUUCCGGGUGUAGCGGUGAAAUGCGUAGAUAUCCGGAGGAACACCAGUGGCGAAGGCGACUUCCUGGACCAACACUGACGCUGAGGUACGAAAGCGUGGGUAGCAAACAGG
rnacentral:rRNA from 1 species